AAAAAUGUCACUGUGCGUUCUGACGGUUCAUUGUCUCACCUGAGCUCUGACCUGACUUCUAGAUGUGGAUGAAGAUUAGCAGUAACUCCACCGCACAGAACAGCUUCUGUUAAGCCUCAUUCAUUCACAUUGAUCCAGCUGAGAUGACAGACCAUACAGAUGAAGGCCUGAAUGUGUUUGCACAGCUACAAGUGAAAAGCCGUACCUGUCUCAGUGUCUUUCUGUCUGACUGAAUCGGGGAUGGACUCUCUAACAACCUCUUUACAGCGCUGUGUCCUUGUGUCCAGGGGGCGGGCUGUCUGUCUUUCUGUCAGGCAAUAACAAGUGUAACCAGUACAUCCACCUAACAGGAUCCAGGAUACACUGCCUCAUUUGCAUUUUACAUCUUCAAAAAACAGUCACCACCCUUUUUUCCCUCAGUCUAAGCCAGUGCAUAAUCAGUUUCUGCUAAAAUACAAUUUGAAUGUUUGUUUAACAGUGUGUGCAGCAUUUUAAAGUGGCACACAGAUGCCAGUGGUCAUAAUGUGCUAAACGUAAAUGAAAGUUUUUAAUUUCAGCACAGACGCUCUUUGUGCUGGUGUACUGGAUUUCUGUCACCAGCAGCAGAGCCUGAGGGCAGCUGUCAUCAGGUGUUCUACAGGGCAGACUGAGAGACUGUUGCACCUCAGGAGACAAAUAUCCAUUUUAAUGAAAAUGACAACAGCCUCACAAGUGAUUCAGGCGUUGAUGAGAUCUUAUCUUUAGGAAGCUGUUGUCACCAAAACCGUUUUCUUUCACUUCAAACUACUUUUUUUGCAUCUGUGAUGUUGUGAGCCAAUGUAAAAAAUUUGAAUGUAGUUUAAAAAUGCAAAUAAA